UUCUGUGACUCCUGCUCCCGUCAUCUGCACCGUCCGAUCUUUUCUUUCAUUGAAUGAUAAUAAAAAUCCCUUUCUCGGUUUCUCCCCACCCAAAUAAUUUCUUUUUGUCGAUUUUCUCCAAAAUUAAAUUCCAAUACUUAUUUUUUUUUCCUCUAUUUUUCGUUUUCCCUUCAUUUAUUAGGGAAAAGGAACCUUCUAACAUCUUCUCUGCUCCAAAGAACGAAUUAUUAAUCUUAGAGGGUUUUGAUUGGAUCGAGCACACCUUCAAUCAAUUGUUAACCUUUCAAAUUUCUUCAAUUAAUUGGAUAUUUUCUGAUCAUUUUUAUUUUACGUGAAUUUAAGCACUUCGGGAUUUGAGUUUUUAGGGUUUGUUAGAUUUCGGCAUCUUUGAUUAAGGGUAAGUUGAGAUUCUCGGAUUGAAAGAUAUCUGGAUAAAAUCCUUUUUGGGCGUUUGAAAUAGGGUUUAGGUCUAAACCAUUGAAUUAAUAGUUUUAGGUGAGAAGUUCAUUCAUUUUAUGGCAUUUGAAUGCCAAGAAAGCGCCGAGGAUUUUAAGAAUUUAGCAAAAUUUUCUAAAUCAAAUCUCUUUACAUCCAAUCCCUUAACUGAAGAUUUGGAAGGUUCAAAACCGUUGUUGGAUUGUAAUCCUAAGAAGGACGUUUCAAGUCUUUGUUGUUCCAAACAGUUACCACCUAAUAAUGUUGUUUCGAAUGUGCGGCGGUCAAUCACUGAUCUCCCACCAGCCUUAAUAUCAGAAAUUUUGAAUUGUCUUGAGCCGAAAGAGCUUGGUGUAGUGUCUUGUGUGUCGACAACUCUCCAUAAUAUAGCAUCCGAGCAUCACGUUUGGAAGGAAUUUUAUUGUGAGAGGUGGGGUUUGCCGAUUGCCCCGGCACCUUUGGGUGCAGGGUUUUCAGACGAUAAGUCAUGGAAGGAAUUGUUUGUGGAGAGGGACUUUAGGAGCAAGACUUUUUUAGGAAAGUAUAGCAUUGAUGAUUUAUAUGGUCACACGGAAGCUGUUCGAACUGUGUUUUUAUUGGCUUCUGCCAAGCUUAUUUUUACUGCUGGAUAUGACUCAGUUGUACGAAUGUGGGAUAUGGAAGAGGGGUUGUCAAUUGCAUCCUCACGACCCCUUGGUUGUACCAUCAGGGCAGUUGCAGCGGAUACUAAACUAUUGGUUGCUGGGGGUACCGAUGGCUUUAUCCAUUCUUGGAAGGCAGUUGAGAGUCUUCAGCACUUGUUUGACCUUAAGGGUGUUGAGAAACAGAACACUGAGUUUCGACUUUGGGAACAUGAGGGGCCUAUAACUUCUCUUGCAUUGGACCUUACUAGGAUAUAUAGUGGUUCUUGGGACAUGACAGUUCGUGUCUGGGAUCGGUCAUUGCUGAAGUGCACACAGGUAUUGAGGCAUGGUGACUGGGUUUGGGGCCUUGUUCCACACGACACAACUAUUGCGAGCACAUCAGGUUCAGAUUUGUUUGUUUGGGAGACGAAUGGUGGCACCCUGUUAAAUGUUAUUCACAAUGCUCAUGUUGGUAAUACUUAUGCCUUGGCAAGGAGCCGAACUGGGGACUUCCUUUUUACUGGUGGAGAAGAUGGGGCAAUACACAUGUUUGAGAUCGUAAGUGGGUCUGAAGAAUCUAGUGUUGUGCUGGUUGCAACAUGGAUUCCUCACUCAGGUUCUGUUUAUUCCCUUGCAUUUGAGUUUCCCUGGCUUGUUUCAGCUUCCAGUGAUGGGAAACUUGCACUAAUUGAUGUCCGAAAGUUGUUGAGGGCCACUAAGCACUCCUUGGGGAAAAGGGUUGCAAGGGAUAAAGACAUUGACCAGAAUAAUGUAGAGCCACCCCAGAGAAUGCUGCAUGGAUGUGUGUACAAUUUAUUCUCAGUCAGUAUUGGAGCAGAUCGAAUUGUCUGCGGAGGUGAGGAAGGUGUGGUCCGAAUUUGGAACUUCUCAGAAGCUUUUGAAGUUGAGCAGAGGGUUCGUGUUCUAAGAGGAAUACGUUUGGAGAACAGGAUGAGGCGGCGCAGACUUCAGAUUGAGAUGAAUAGUAAGGGUGGUCGAACUGAUCAAUGUUCUGUUGCUGCCAAGAAGAAUCCAGUGAAUGGUGAUAGAAAUGGUGUCUGGCAUAGUAAACGUAGUAUAAGCUCAAAAGGUGAAGACAUAACAGCUGUCAGCUGAUAAUACUAAUGUCAUUGCUCUAGGCUUCCAACAUAUUCAUCUUUGUUCUAUUAUGACAAAGUUAUUCACAAUAUCUUUCUGAAUUGACAAUUGGAUGUAUAUGCAAAUUGCAAUAACGAGUUCCAAGGUGCGGGAAAAGCAUCCUAGUCAGCCUCAAUGAAAUCUUGAUCGAACUUUCUCUUUUGAAGGGCCUCUGCUUCCUUCUCAAAACACCACCUCCGUUUCUUUUCGUUUCCUAGGAGAAUUGUUAUACUGUACAGGGAUAUAACAUUACAAUACAAUGAUAUGUCAAUUUCGAACAAAGCUCAUCUAGAAAAAAUUAUAGAUUACGCAAUAACAUGAUAUA